rnacentral:rRNA from 1 species
AUUGAACGCUGGCGGCAGGCCUAACACAUGCCAGUCGAGCGGAUGAAGGGAGCUUGCUCCUGGAUUCAGCGGCGGACGGGUGAGUAAUGCCUAGGAAUCUGCCUGGUAGUGGGGGAUAACGUCCGGAAACGGGCGCUAAUACCGCAUACGUCCUGAGGGAGAAAGUGGGGGAUCUUCGGACCUCACGCUAUCAGAUGAGCCUAGGUCGGAUUAGCUAGUUGGUGGGGUAAAGGCCUACCAAGGCGACGAUCCGUAACUGGUCUGAGAGGAUGAUCAGUCAAACUGGAACUGAGACACGGUCCAGACUCCUACGGGAGGCAGCAGUGGGGAAUAUUGGACAAUGGGCGAAAGCCUGAUCCAGCCAUGCCGCGUGUGUGAAGAAGGUCUUCGGAUUGUAAAGCACUUUAAGUUGGGAGGAAGGGCAGUAAGUUAAUACCUUGCUGUUUUGACGUUACCAACAGAAUAAGCACCGGCUAACUUCGU